AUGAAAUCCUUGUGGUUCUUCCUCUUUCUGGUGGCAGCUCCCAGAUGUGUCCUGUCACAAGUGCAGUUGAAGGAGUCAGGACCUGGCCUGGUGAAGCCCUCACAGACCCUGUCCCUCACCUGCUCUGUCUCUGGAUUCUCUUUAAACAAUCAUGCUGUGCGCUGGAUCCACCAGCCCCCAGGAAAGGGGCUGGAGUGGGUCUUGAUUAUAGGUUAUGCUGGAGGCACAUACUACAACCCAAGCCUUCUGUCCCAACUCAGCAUCACCAGGGACACCUCCAAGAAUGAAGUUUAUUUAAAACUGAGGAGCCCGAGACCAGAGAACACAGCCACGUAUUACUGUGUGAGAGACACAGUGAGGGGAAGACAGGAAUGUCCAGGAAAAAAUAGCCCUCCUGUACCAUCAGGUAGUGCUUGUGUCUUCGGGUGGAAGGAGGAGAAAGACAGAAACCCUGGGAUGGCCUAA